rnacentral:lncRNA from 1 species
GCUACCACCUCAAGCUUUCAACCACAUUGCCAAGUUAUGCAGCCUUAAACGACUUGUUCUCUAUCGAACAAAAGUAGAGCAAACAGCACUGCUCAGCAUUUUGAACUUCUGUUCAGAGCUUCAGCACCUCAGUUUAGGCAGUUGUGUCAUGGAACAAGAAUGGUAAGUCCGGCAUCCUUAAGAAAACUCCUGGAAUCUUGUAAAGAUCUUUCUUUACUUGAUGUGUCCUUCUGUUCGCAGAUUGAUAACAGAGCUGUGCUAGAACUGAAUGCAAGCUUUCCAAAAGUGUUCAUAAAAAAGAGCUUUACUCAGUGACUUAAUAUAUGUUCUGUAUUAAAAUUAAUGUGCUUUGUUGGGGUUUAAUUUUGGGAUUGGUUUUGGGUUUUGUUUUUAGUUGUUUUAAUGGUAAGAAUUAAGACAUUUGUAGAUUUUAAAGAAAAAUAUGAAAUUGUCCAUUAAAUCAAGUAAAAAUGUGCACAAAUGUUUUCAUAAAAUACUGCAAGCACUUCUCUUCAAGAAUAUGAGUGGAUAUUAUUUUUACCUUAUGUUAAUCAGUGAUAUGCUUUAGUCAAUAAUAUGAUUGAUAAAAGAAUAACAUGGAAUCAUGCUAACUUAUUUUCAAAGGAACACUGAGCAAUAAAGUAUCGUGGCAUUUAUGC